GUUGGGAGUGACUCAUGACGCACGGGAAAGGCCCUGCCCCGCAGGAAUCGGAAGCUGAACAGGAGGGUGCAAUCCCAAUUCUGUGCCAGGACACUGUCUUGCCCCACAUAUCACGGCAUACCUGGGCGGGGUGGGUGAGAUGUUGAGAAGGAAACAGGCCAAGUGAGAGAUCAUACCAUGGCCAUUCAAGGAAGGAACAUGAUCAAGAGGUGACCCCGCGGCUUAUGACUUCCAGGUGUAGCUGUCUCUGUUCCGAAUCAGUGCUUACAACAGGACUCUGCAACUUCAGUAUAACUGAAGAGCUAAACAACGUUAACAUGUGAAGGAAGAGAUUCAUAAGGAGUCAGUAGAAGAAAGCCCACUUGGAUAACUGAAGCUAUUCGCCUUAACAUUACUGAUAACUGACAUGCUGAUUAGUAAUCCUUUUAGUUUCUUUGGCAAAAUACUGGUUGCUGCAGAACCUAUAUUAGGAAGUGGUGUACACAGUGGUGGGAUCCAAACAUUUUAGUAACAGGUUCCCAUGGUGGUGGGAUUCAAACUGUGGCGUAGCGCC